rnacentral:rRNA from 1 species
GCCAGACUCCUACGGGAGGCAGCAGUGGGGAAUAUUGCACAAUGGGGGAAACCCUGAUGCAGCGACGCCGCGUGAGCGAUGAAGUAUUUCGGUAUGUAAAGCUCUAUCAGCAGGGAAGAAAAUGACGGUACCUGACUAAGAAGCCCCGGCUAACUACGUGCCAGCAGCCGCGGUAAUACGUAGGGGGCAAGCGUUAUCCGGAUUUACUGGGUGUAAAGGGUGCGUAGGUGGCAGGGCAAGUCAGAUGUGAAAGCCCGGGGCCCAACCCCGGUACUGCAUUUGAAACUGUCCGGCUGGAGUGCGGGAGAGGUAAGCGGAAUUCCUAGUGUAGCGGUGAAAUGCGUAGAUAUUAGGAGGAACACCAGUGGCGAAGGCGGCUUACUGGACUGUAACUGACGUUGAGGCUCGAAAGCGUGGGGAGCAAACAGGAUUAGAUACCCGUGUACU